rnacentral:rRNA from 1 species
AUGAACGCUAGCGACAGGCUUAACACAUGCAAGUCGAGGGGCAGCGGGGUGUAGCAAUACACCGCCGGCGACCGGCGCACGGGUGAGUAACGCGUAUGCAACUUGCCUAUCAGAGGGGGAUAACCCGGCGAAAGUCGGACUAAUACCGCAUGAAGCAGGGGCCCCGCAUGGGGAUAUUUGCUAAAGAUUCAUCGCUGAUAGAUAGGCAUGCGUUCCAUUAGGCAGUUGGCGGGGUAACGGCCCACCAAACCGACGAUGGAUAGGGGUUCUGAGAGGAAGGUCCCCCACAUUGGUACUGAGACACGGACCAAACUCCUACGGGAGGCAGCAGUGAGGAAUAUUGGUCAAUGGGCGCGAGCCUGAACCAGCCAAGUCGCGUGAGGGAUGAAGGUUCUAUGGAUCGUAAACCUCUUUUAUAAGGGAAUAAAGUGCGGGACGUGUCCCGUUUUGUAUGUACCUUAUGAAUAAGGAUCGGCUAACUCCGUGCCAGCAGCCGCGGUAAUACGGAGGAUCCGAGCGUUAUCCGGAUUUAUUGGGUUUAAAGGGUGCGUAGGCGGCCUUUUAAGUCAGCGGUGAAAGUCUGUGGCUCAACCAUAGAAUUGCCGUUGAAACUGGGGGGCUUGAGUAUGUUUGAGGCAGGCGGAAUGCGUGGUGUAGCGGUGAAAUGCUUAGAUAUCACGCAGAACCCCGAUUGCGAAGGCAGCCUGCCAAGCCAUGACUGACGCUGAUGCACGAAAGCGUGGGGAUCAAACAGGAUUAGAUACCCUGGUAGUCCACGCAGUAAACGAUGAUCACUAGCUGUUUGCGAUACAGUGUAAGCGGCACAGCGAAAGCGUUAAGUGAUCCACCUGGGGAGUACGCCGGCAACGGUGAAACUCAAAGGAAUUGACGGGGGCCCGCACAAGCGGAGGAACAUGUGGUUUAAUUCGAUGAUACGCGAGGAACCUUACCCGGGUUUGAACGCAUUCGGACCGAGGUGGAAACACCUUUUCUAGCAAUAGCCGUUUGCGAGGUGCUGCAUGGUUGUCGUCAGCUCGUGCCGUGAGGUGUCGGCUUAAGUGCCAUAACGAGCGCAACCCUUGCCACUAGUUACUAACAGGUGAUGCUGAGGACUCUGGUGGGACUGCCAGCGUAAGCUGCGAGGAAGGCGGGGAUGACGUCAAAUCAGCACGGCCCUUACAUCCGGGGCGACACACGUGUUACAAUGGCGUGGACAAAGGGAGGCCACCUGGCGACAGGGAGCGAAUCCCCAAACCACGUCUCAGUUCGGAUCGGAGUCUGCAACCCGACUCCGUGAAGCUGGAUUCGCUAGUAAUCGCGCAUCAGCCAUGGCGCGGUGAAUACGUUCCCGGGCCUUGUACACACCGCCCGUCAAGCCAUGGGAGCCGGGGGUACCUGAAGUCCGUAACCGCGAGGAUCGGCCUAGGGUAAAACUGGUGACUGGGGCU